rnacentral:lncRNA from 1 species
UGACUCGAAGGUGACAACUCAGGAUAAUACGGAGUUGUUUGUACAUACAUAUGGGGUUCCCAAAAAAUCUCAAUGAUCGUACCUUGUUCACCAUGUAUGUCGGUCAUGUAGAAUUUAGACUAUGGCAUAAAGAGGUAUAAAUAUUUUAUUUUAAUUUUAUUUAUUUAUUACGGAUUAAUUGAAAAUAACAGUUGUUUAAUACUUUAAU